rnacentral:rRNA from 1 species
UAAGGAAUAUUGGUCAAUGGACGCAAGUCUGAACCAGCCAUGCCGCGUGCAGGAAGACGGCCCUAUGGGUUGUAAACUGCUUUUGUCGGGGAAGAAACCCACCUACGUGUAGGUGGCUGACGGUACUCGAAGAAUAAGGAUCGGCUAACUCCGUGCCAGCAGCCGCGGUAAUACGGAGGAUCCAAGCGUUAUCCGGAUUUAUUGGGUUUAAAGGGUGCGUAGGCGGCGUUGUAAGUCAGUGGUGAAAGUUUUCAGCUUAACUGGAAAAUUGCCAUUUGAUACUGCAGUGCUUGAGUAUAGAUGAGGUGGGCGGAAUGUGUCAUGUAGCGGUGAAAUGCAUAGAUAUGACACAGAACACCGAUUGCGAAGGCAGCUCACUAAACUAUAACUGACGCUGAGGCACGAAAGCGUGGGGAUCAACACAGGAUUAGAUACCC